rnacentral:rRNA from 1 species
UACGUAGGGUGCGAGCGUUAAUCGGAAUUACUGGGCGUAAAGGGUGCGCAGGCGGCGUCGCAAGUCAGGCGUGAAAUCCCCGGGCUUAACCUGGGAACUGCACUUGAAACUACGAUGCUGGAGUAUGGCAGAGGGAGGUGGAAUUCCACGUGUAGCGGUGAAAUGCGUAGAGAUGUGGAGGAACACCGAUGGCGAAGGCGGAUCUCUGGGCCAUUACUGACGCUGAGGAGCGAAAGCGUGGGGAGCGAACAGG